AGGAAAGGAAUCCAACAGGCAGGUGGCGUUCACCCCAUUGCCCUGGAUUUCUGUACAGUUGGCAUGGCCGGGCUUGGUGUAGGGAGCCAAAAGCCCAUCUCUCCAAGCUCUGGGAAGCAUUUGACACGCUGUAUGGAGUGAAGGUUCUAGGAACAAAGCCGUCAGUGGGAAAGGGCCAACGAGAGAAAAAGAUGAGAGAGAGCUGGCCGAGAGAUAUCAAAGUUCCUCCAUGUUGGAAGCAACUAGGACUGGGGAAUGUCUCGACAUAGAGUUGGCGCUCAUCGUCCUGAUGGUGAAGGAAAGAGCAAGGCAACUGAGUCAUUUUGGAAGGUCUCUUUUUUGACAAACAAGUAUUUUGAAUCAGUAAAUUGUCACAGCUUUUAUUGGAUGGACCCAGGAAAUCAUGAAACUGGC
rnacentral:lncRNA from 1 species